rnacentral:rRNA from 1 species
GAUGAACGCUGGCGGCGUGCCUAAUACAUGCAAGUCGAGCGAACGGACGAGAAGCUUGCUUCUCUGAUGUUAGCGGCGGACGGGUGAGUAACACGUGGAUAACCUACCUAUAAGACUGGGAUAACUUCGGGAAACCGUAGCUAAUACCGGAUAAUAUUUUGAACCGCAUGGUUCAAAAGUGAAAGACGGUCUUGCUGUCACUUAUAGAUGGAUCCGCGCUGCAUUAGCUAGUUGGUAAGGUAACGGCUUACCAAGGCAACGAUGCAUAGCCGACCUGAGAGGGUGAUCGGCCACACUGGAACUGAGACACGGUCCAGACUCCUACGGGAGGCAGCAGUAGGGAAUCUUCCGCAACGGGCGAAAGCCUGACGGAGCAACACCGCGUGAGUGAUGAAGGUCUUCGGAUCGUAAAACUCUGUUAUUAGGGAAGAACAUAUGUGUAAGUAACUGUGCACAUCUUGACGGUACCUAAUCAGAAAGCCACGGCUAACUACGUG